GGGGUUUAAUAGAGCAUUCUUUAUUUAUUAAUUCAAUUUGUAGUAAUUUAAAUACCUGCAGGACAAUGUCCCUGGAGGACCAGGUCUGGACAGAGCGACUUGUUCAAAGCCCACAUCUCAGUCUGUUUGCAAACUGUAAUAUGCCUUAAAGAUCCAAUCAGCUCGGUUCUGUAAAGUAGUUCAGCCUGUAUAAACAGGUAUGAUCAGGUAUGAUCAGCAGGUAUGAUCAGGUGUGUUCAGCAGGUAUGAUCAGGUGUGUUCAGCAGGUAUGAUCAGGUGUGUUCAGCAGGUAUGAUCAGGUGUGUUCAGCAGGUAUGAUCAGGUGUGUUCAGCAGGUAUGAUCAGGUGUGUUCAGCAGGUAUGAUCAGCAGGUAUGAUCAGGUGUGUUCAGCAGGUAUGAUCAGGUGUGUUCAGCAGGUAUGAUCAGCAGGUAUGAUCAGGUGUGUUCAGCAGGUAUGAUCAGGUGUGUUCAGCAGGUGU